GAUUAUGGCUCAGGAUGAACGCUAGCGGCAGGCUUAACACAUGCAAGUCGAGGGGCAGCGGGAUGUAGCAAUACAUUGCCGGCGACCGGCGGAUGGGUGCGUAACGCGUAUGCAACCUACCUUAUACAGGGGAAUAACCUUUCGAAAGGGAGACUAACACCCCAUAGUAUUGAUUUAAGGCAUCUUAGAUUAAUUAAAUAUUUAUAGGUAUAAGAUGGGCAUGCGUAUGAUUAGCUAGUUGGUAAGGUAACGGCUUACCAAGGCGACGAUCAUUAGGGGUUCUGAGAGGAAGGUCCCCCACACUGGUACUGAGACACGGACCAGACUCCUACGGGAGGCAGCAGUGAGGAAUAUUGGUCAAUGGGCGCAAGCCUGAACCAGCCAUGCCGCGUGCAAGGAAGACGGCCUUAUGGGUUGUAAACUGCUUUUACAUAAGACUAACCGUAUAUUUGCGAAUAUACCUGAAUGUAUUAUGAGAAUAAGGAUCGGCUAACUCCGUGCCAGCCGCCGC
rnacentral:rRNA from 1 species